GCGUCGUAUGCUAGAUCAAGAUCGUUAUUGUUUUAAUUUGUUCGAGUCGGGACGACUCUUUUCCUCAGGGGGGAGUAGUGUUACAAAGGGUAAAAUCACCCGCUUUACCCCCUUUUCUAAUGAUCUAGUAGUCGGCAUAGAUAAAAUACGUG